rnacentral:rRNA from 1 species
UAAGGAAUAUUGGUCAAUGGGCGCAAGCCUGAACCAGCCAUGCCGCGUGAAGGAUGACGGCCCUAUGGGUUGUAAACUUCUUUUGUACGGGAAAAAACCUCUGGUCGUGUACCAGAGCUGAUGGUACCGUAAGAAUAAGCAUCGGCUAACUCCGUGCCAGCAGCCGCGGUAAUACGGAGGAUGCAAGCGUUAUCCGGAUUCAUUGGGUUUAAAGGGUGCGCAGGCGGAUUAUUAAGUCAGUGGUGAAAGCCUACAGCUUAACUGUAGAACUGCCAUUGAUACUGAUAUUCUUGAGUGUUGUUGAGGUAGGCGGAAUGUGUCAUGUAGCGGUGAAAUGCUUAGAUAUGACACAGAACACCGAUCGCGAAGGCAGCUUACCAAGCAACAACCUGACGCUCA